rnacentral:rRNA from 1 species
UCCAAUCGAACUCGGAGAUAGCUGGUUCUCCUCGAAAUAGCUUUAGGGCUAGCCUCGGAAUGUAGAUACGCGGAGGUAGAGCACUGAAUAUCCUAGGGGCCUUCACCGGUUACCGAAGAUUAUCAAACUCCGAAUGCCGCAGUAUUAAAUCCGGGAGUCAGACUAUGUGAGAUAAGUUUCAUAGUCGAAAGGGAAACAGCCCAGACCAACAGCUAAGGUCCCCAAGUGUAAGUUAAGUGGAAAAGGAUGUGGAGCUGCAUAGACAACUAGGACGUUGGCUUAGAAGCAGCCACUCAUUUAAAGAGUGCGUAAUAGCUCACUAGUCGAGUGACUCUGCGCCGAAGAUAAACGGGGCUGAAACUUACCACCGAAGCUUUGGAUACCCAUAGGGUAUGGUAGAGGAGCAUCGUAUACGGGCCGAAGCGGAAAUGUGAGUUUCCGUGGACUGUAUAGGAGAGAGAAUGUUGGCAUGAGUAGCGAGAGGCAGGUGAGAAUCCUGCCCGCCGAAAAUCUGAGGUUUCCUGAGGAAGGUUCGUCCGCUCAGGGUAAGUCGGGACCUAAGCCGAGAGCGAAAGCUGUAGGCGAUGGACAACAGGUUGAGAUUCCUGUACCACCGAAAGUCGUUUGAAUGAAGUGGGGACGCAGGAGGAUAGACAGAGCACGCCGUUGGUAGAGCGUGUCCAAGCACGGAGUGUAUCGGGUAGGCAAAUCCGCCCGGUGAAAAGCAUGACGUGUGACGGGGAGGGAAAAUAGUACCGAAGCUGUCGAUUUCACACUGCCAAGAAAAGCCGCUAAUGAGACUGUAGGUGCCCGUACCGCAAACCGACACAGGUAGAUGAGGAGAGAAUCCUAAGGCGAGCGAGAGAACUAUUGUUAAGGAACUCGGCAAAAUGACCCCGUAACUUAGGGAGAAGGGGUGCCUGCGAAAGCAGGCCGCAGUGAAAAGGCCCAGGCGACUGUUUACCAAAAACACAGGUCUCUGCGAAAGCGAAAGCUGAAGUAUAGGGGCUGACGCCUGCCCGGUGCUGGAAGGUUAAGGGGAAGUGUUAUCGAAAGAGAAGCACAGAACUUAAGCCCCAGUAAACGGCGGCCGUAACUAUAACGGUCCUAAGGUAGCGAAAUUCCUUGUCGGGUAAGUUCCGACCCGCACGAAAGGCGUAACGAUCUGGGCACUGUCUCGACAAUAGACUCGGUGAAAUUGUAGUACCGGUAAAGAUGCCGGUUACCCGCAGCAGGACGGAAAGACCCCGUGGAGCUUUACUGUAGCUUGAUAUUGGAUUUCGGCAUUGCAUGUACAGGAUAGGUGGGAGACGUUGAGCUAUGCACGCCAGUGUGUAGGGAGUCGCCGUUGGGAUACCACUCUUGUAAUGUUGAGGUUCUAACCUUGUACCGUGAUCCGGUAUGGGGACAGUGUCAGGUGGGCAGUUUGACUGGGGCGGUCGCCUCCUAAAGAGUAACGGAGGCGCCCAAAGGUACGCUCAGAUUGGAUGGAAAUCAAUCGACGAGUGCAAAUGCAGAAGCGUGCUUGACUGUGAGACAAACAAGUCGAACAGGGACGAAAGUCGGGAUUAGUGAUCCGGCGGUGCCGAAUGGAAGGGC